GUGCCAGCGCCGCGGUAACACGUAGGAGGCAAACGUUAUCCGGAUUUACUGGGCGUAAAGCGCGUGUAGGUGGUUCUGUAAGUAGGGCGUGAAAGCUCCCGGCUCAACUGGGAGAGGCCGUUCUAAACUGCAGAGCUAGAGGAUGGUAGAGGGAGGUGGAAUUCCAGGUGUAGCGGUGGAAUGCGCAGAUAUCUGGAGGAACACCAGUGGCGAAAGCGGCCUCCUGGACCAUUCCUGACACUCAGACGCGAAAGCUAGGGUAGCAAACGGG
rnacentral:rRNA from 1 species